UACGGGGGGGGCUAGCGUUGCUCGGAAUCACUGGGCGUAAAGGGUGCGUAGGCGGGUUUUUAAGUCAGGGGUGAAAUCCUGGAGCUCAACUCCAGAACUGCCUUUGAUACUGAAGAUCUUGAGUCCGGGAGAGGUGAGUGGAACUGCGAGUGUAGAGGUGAAAUUCGUAGAUAUUCGCAAGAACACCAGUGGCGAAGGCGGCUCACUGGCCCGGUACUGACGCUGAGGCACGAAAGCGUGGGGAGCAAACAGG
rnacentral:rRNA from 1 species